GUUUUUGGUUACCUUCAAGUUCAUGUAUGUUGAUCUGUAACUGUAUCUACUUGAUUUAAGCUGAUUGUCAUUUAAGUUGAAACACAGUUUGAAAGAGCUGCAUUUUCGACUCCCCUCUCCCAUGUUUUGGUUUUAUGAUUUCAUAUUUUACAUCUUCAUGUCUGUCCCUUAACUGUUUACUGAGUUACAGUUAAUUUAAAAUUUUUGUCUUUUAAUCUUCAUACUAGCUUAUUCAGGUAAUUGAUCCAUGAUCUUUACUAUAUAUUUGCUUUUACUAGUGGUAUGUUUCUUUUCCUAUAAAUUCUUUACAUCUUCUUGUAGCCUUCACCACUUAGAAAAGACCUUUUAACACUUCUUGUAGGGCCAGUUUAGUAUUGAUGAACUCUUAGUUUUUGCUUGUCUGAGAAGUUCUUUAUUUCUUAUUCAAUUCUGAAUUAUAACCUUGCUGGGUGAUGCAUCCUAAGUUAUAGGUUUUACCUUUUCAGCACUUUAUCAUGCCACUUCCUUCUGGCCUAAAAAUUUUCUGUACAGUGAGCCGGGGGUCGGGCUGGAGGAGAGGAACCUGAAACUUGCUGGACGGUUUAACAUGCAAAUGCCCCACUGGGUUUUAGGUGGAGGAUGAAGGUUUGGCUACUUUCAGCUUCUUGCCAAACCCCCCUCUCUUCCCAUCCCAGUUGAGUUUCAAGAGGCCUGUAGAUGUGACAAGCGCUUUGUGUGGGGAAUUCAGGCCCGUGAAAGGGACAAGGAGACCCAGUUGAGGGAACAAACUUUUGAGGGUCAGUGGGGUCAGUGUAGAAUAAAUGUGUGGCACUGUUGUCAUUAAGGACAUGCUCUCAGCAGGGUGUCCUGAGCCAGGCUCACAGGCCUGUUUAUUUAACACUGAAAUACCUAUGGCCUGCCCAGGUCUUGGGGAGAAAAGAGAGACUUAAACAGCAAAGGCCUGUACCUUCCAGCAUCAAAACAUUCUCCAAAAGCACAAAGACUUGUUUUUUUUCUAAUUACAGAGACGCCGCAGCCUGUGCAUAACCCAAAAUUCAUUGAUUAAUUAACCAAUGCAUUAAAAGAAGAACUUCUAGAAUUUUCUUUGUUUCUCUCUGUCUUUCUAUUUUGUUCCCUCUCUCGCUCACUUUUUUCCCCUCUCCACACGACGGGAACUCCUUUUCCCGCCCUUUUCUAGAACUUCAUCCAGUGUGUGGAUGUACCAUUCUUCAUUCAACCAUUUUUCUAUAUCUGUUAGGUUGUCACAUUACUUUACAAUUAAAAAUGGUUACAGUGUUAUGCAUAUGUAUUUUCUUACUGGUUGAGUUGUAUCUUCAAGGGAGAUUUUAGGAUUGGAACUUCUUGGUCAAAAAGGAAAUGCAAUAUUAUUCUGUUAUACAGGGAUUGCUCUCCCCACCCCCCGCCCAAUUCUGGGCACACAGUGUCAUCAGAUAACCCUUAUUGGGAUGAUAGUGAACCACAGCAUUCUAAAAACCUCUAGGUUACGAGGUUAGGUCAUACUUUCCAUGAACAAAUUAAAUACUUCAACAGACGUUGUGUUCUUAGUGUGUACCGAGAAAUAUCCUAGAUACUGGGAGCAAAAAUGCAUAUUCUAGCAAUCCUAAGGAGGCACUUGCUUUAAUAGGUCAUUUUAACGUGGGCUACAUGGUCCCCUGCUUCUCUAUGAUCCCAGAACAGAGUGACUUAAUAAAGUACAGCAAUACUUUCCCAAGCAUGAAUUCCCAUUGAAACAGAAUUCUACUUUACUUUACACAGAAUUGUUCCUGUUUCAUGUGAGAAACAGUACCUGAUAUAUCUGUUGGUGGUAUUAAAAAAAAAAUAAAGAAAGAAAGAAGGAACUAGAGUUUGGGAAGGGAAAGAAGUAAAAGCAGAAAACAAACUAAGAAUAUAGGUGCAACCUCAUUUUCCAGCACAGUGUGUGGAGAA
rnacentral:lncRNA from 1 species